rnacentral:RNase_P_RNA from 1 species
CGAAGCAGCACAGGUGGUCGCCCGCCGCUGGCGGGAGGAAAGUCCGAGCUCCAAAGGGCAAGGCGCUCUGUAACGCAGAGUCCCGGUGACGGGAAGGAAAGUGCCACAGAAAGGGAAACCACUCCGGUUUCGGCCGGAGAAAGGGUGAAAAGGUGUCCCGAUUAAUCGGGAGCUGUCCGUUAAGGGCAGCAGGUAAGAGCUCACCAGCGUCCCGGGUGACCGGGCGGCUUGGUAAACCCCGCCUGGAGCAAGGCCAAAUAGGUUCCGCCCUGAGAGGGGCCCCUUCGAAUCCCCCUGAGCGGGGAGGCGGAACGGGUUAGGCCGCAUGAUCCCGGAUACGGUCCGGGACACAGAUGAAUGACCACGACCCGCGCAGCGGGAGACAGAACUCGGCUUAUGGGCUGCUUCGGCGA